CCCCCCCCCCCCCCCCCCUCUCUCUCUGCCUGCAAAUCAUAGACAGCACCAAACUCCAAGGCCUUUCAUCAAUUCAAUCCCUCUCUCUCCAAGCUCCGUACUUCCUUCUCUCUCUCUCUUCUCGAACCUCCCAUUUGCCUUCUCGAAAUUCCUCCCCUUUCUGUUGCUCCGAGCUCCGAUCUGCAGCCUGCGAUCCCAAUCUCCUUGAAGCUCGAAUCCCUCCCCCUCCGCUCCACUGAAGGGGAGAGUUCGCAGAAAUCUGUAGCUCCGAGCUGAGCUAGUGCAAUAAUAGCAAUUCUAAGCUCGAAGUCAAAAGCUCGUGGAUUUGGGGGGCUGAUUGAUUGGUUUGGUAAUUGAUUGGUCGAUCAAUCAGCUCUGGUUUUGAUUGCGGGAGAUGCUCUACCUGAAGCAGCCUAGCUCCGUCCUGUGUCUUGGGAGUUCUUGUUCGUUGUGCAGCGGAAGGCGCUUGCUGUUAGCGUGAAUUGCGCAAUUCAUAUGUUCAUAUCACUCGCUAGCUUGAAAGCACGGGGCUUUGCGGGAGGAGAUUUUGUCGGAGGCAUACAAGGCUCGGGUUUCCGGUGAAUGCCCUUGUGAUAAGUCCCCUGAGCCUGGGGCUCGGGGAGAGCUGUGUGUAGCUCUUGAGAGUGCGUAGAAAUGGCGGAGAGCUCGGACCGUGAGAGCUCGUUUCACUCGAGAGACGGUAUGGACUGUCCUGCAGCCGAAUCCUGUAUGCAGAAGUUCAGGCUUUACGAGACACGAUCGAUGUUUUACAUGAUUGGGAGGGACAAGAGCAGAACAUAUUGGAGGGUGCUCAAAAUUGAUAGGCUAGAUCCUUCUGAGCUAAAUGUUCGUGAAGAUUCUACCACAUAUACAGAACGUGAAUGCUCUGAUCUCUUGAGGCGGAUACAUGAGGGUAACAAAUCAACUGGUGGACUGAAAUUUGUCACUACAUGUUACGGAAUAGUGGGGUUCAUCAAGUUUUUAGGACCUUAUUACAUGCUGCUGAUCACAAAGAGGAGGGAGAUUGGUGCUAUCUGUGGCCAUACUGUCUAUGCUAUCUCUAAGAGUGAGAUGAUUCCGCUCCCAAAUUCUACUGUUCGAUCAGCUAUCGCUAAUUCAAGGGAUGAAAACAGAUACAAAAAGCUGCUGUGCACAGUGGAUCUCACAAAGGACUUCUUUUUUAGCUACUCAUACCAUGUCAUGCGCAGCCUUCAGAAGAAUUUGUGUGAUAAUGAGACAGGACAGGUUCUCUACGAGACCAUGUUCGUAUGGAAUGAGUUCUUGACUCGGGGAAUAAGGAAUCACCUCCAGAAUACUCUGUGGACAGUUGCUUUGGUUUAUGGCUUUUUUAAACAGGCUACGCUUUCUGUUGCUGGACGAGACUUGACAUUGACUCUGAUUGCUAGACGGUCGCGGCAUUAUGCUGGUACAAGGUAUCUGAAAAGGGGAGUAAAUGACGAGGGCAGAGUGGCUAAUGAUGUUGAGACAGAGCAGAUUGUGUUUGAGGAUGCCUCUGAAGGAUUUCCCACAAAAAUAAGUUCUGUCGUCCAGAACCGUGGAUCUAUUCCACUUUUCUGGUCACAGGAAACUUCACGUUUGAAUCUUAAACCAGAUAUAAUAUGUAUGUCUCUGCACUCAGUUUUUUUUCGGGACAAUGUUGUAUGUGCUGUAAACUCACUUUUGGCCCUUGCAGUGUCAAAGAAGGACCAAAACUAUGAAGCUACGAGACUUCAUUUUGAAAAUCUUGUUAAGAGAUAUGGAAACCCUAUAAUCAUAUUAAAUCUAAUAAAGACGGAAGAGAAAAAGCCUCGAGAGUCUAUUCUUCGUGCCGAGUUUGCUAAUGCUAUUGACUAUAUUAAUAAAGAUUUGCCGGAAGAAAACCGUUUGAAGUUCCUUCACUGGGAUCUACACAAACAUUCGCGGAGCAAAGCUACAAGUGCUCUGUCAUUUCUUGGUAAAGUCGCUGCGUAUGCGUUAACACUGACAGGGUUCUUUUAUUGUCAAAUAUCACCUGCCGUAACACAAGAGCUUUGUAUUGAAUGGCCUUCAGCAGAGGAUGUAGGAAGUAACUGCUUGGGAUCAGCAGAUGAUGGGGAAAAAGAGAGUGAUGAUAUUUAUUUAGAGAGAAGAUACAGUGAAGGUAACAACCUUGUGAAUGGGAAUCACUUGACAAAGCCUCCUAAGUUUCAAAGAGGUGUGCUCCGGACCAAUUGCAUAGACUGCCUUGAUCGAACAAAUGCUGCCCAGUUUGCCUAUGGGUUGGCUGCUCUAGGACGCCAACUCCAUGCACUUGGGGUCAUAGAGGAUCCUAAGGUGGACCUUGAUUCUCCUAUGGCUGAUCAGCUAAUGGGAUGCUAUGAGAGAAUGGGUGACACACUUGCACACCAGUAUGGUGGCUCUGCUGCUCAUAAUAAGAUAUUUUCUGCUAUACGUGGUCAGUGGAAGGCAGCCACUCAGUCACAAGAGUUCUUUAGGACGCUACAACGAUAUUACAACAAUGCAUAUAUGGAUGCUAUGAAGCAAGAUGCCAUUGACGUAUUCUUGGGUAAUUUUGAGCCAGAACCAGGCAAACCUGCAUUGUGGGAGCUUGACUCAGAACAGAAUUCAAUGAGAAAUGGAGAGAGGAAUGAUGAAGAUGAUGAUGGAAGGUCCCUUUUCAAGAGAUGCUUAUCGGAUGGAAAUAUCCUUCGGGACACCUGCUCACCAAUGUCAGCUACAGAGAAGCAGGAUCAGUUGUCUCGGUUGGAUCCACAGGAUCAGUCUCAAGAUGCCAAAGUUCUCUCUGAUUCAUCACCUGAUAUUUCAACUUCUGAAAGUGAAAUAGCAUUUUCGAGGUAUACUCCCACUAUGCCAAAAAGACAGCUAUUCGGUGAUGUUCAAAGGGAAAGCAAUCAUAUUUACUAUUCCGAGUAUGGAGAUGCGUCUAAUUACUCAAACUUCGUGGAUCUGGACUGGCUUUCAUCCUCAGGGAAUUCAUGUGACGAAGAGGCAUAUGAUAGAUCUUCUGUGCUUACAAGCUCCUCAGUUGCGGGUCUAUCAAUGGAAAAUGUCAUGAACGGAAUAGGAGCAACCCCAUCAACAAGUGAAUAUGGACCCAGCAUGAAGGUCAGCCUCACUCGAGACUCUACUAACAAUUUGGUAGAAAUCAACUGUUGAUGUUCUUUUAGAGGCAUUGCCUCUGCGUAGUCAUGCUCUUAGGUUUUCUGUAAGUACGCAAUAAAAUGCUGGGAACUUUGUUCAAAUGCCAUAGCUGCUUUGUAUUAGAUUACUAUGCCAACGGUCAGUUGGGUUUAUUACGUUAGCGCGUUGCUAUAAUAAUUGACAGGGUGUUCCAUGCCUGCCGUGCGAAUUAAUAAUGAAGAUGUCCAUCUAGAAGGUACUUCAUCUUACCAGCGACAGAUAAUUUAUCCCUUGGGAUUAUUAAACGCUCUAGAUUGAGUUGAUACUGAUUAUACUCCUAGAAUUUAUCCUCUUAUCUCAGUCUGGCCCCUGAAAAGAUUUGUCUUGAUUAGCCUCACUUAGUUUCAAUUAUUUCAACGAUCCCCCCUUACUAGUGAGGGUAUCUGUGGAAGGAAUCUGGUCAAAUGCAUGUACUUUUGAUGCGAGAUCUCUUAUCCAAUUUUUGGGCUGGAUUAGUUGUCAGAUAUAUCUUCUUCUAUUUCCCUAGAAGAACGCAAUUUUCAUCGGCGUACUGGCGAUUCUACUGUGAAUGGAGGUUAGAGGUUUGGCAAUCUUGAGUUGGAGGUGGAAUGGGAAAUUUACUGCAAAGUGUAAUUGUUGGGUUGCGGAACUCGUUACAAUUGUAGGCUCCAAGGAAGAAGUUGACUCGUUGAAUCCACACAUUACAUUUAGAAGCUUUGAAUAAGCACUUGGUUUCAAGAAAUGUAAGUCGGUUGCGUGCUCAGUUUCAUCUUGGAGUUUUUAAGGAGAAAAUAUGAACUCAGUUUAAAGAGUGGAUGACAUUGGGUGAGCAUUACGGACAAAGAAGUUAUCUUAGGACAUGCCCAGACAAUCUUUUCAGGGGGCCAACUGAAAGGAAGCCAUUUUUGUAGAGGGAGGGGAGAAUUCAUCGGCGGAGCUAUCAUAUCACAGCAUGCACCAUGCUGAUGUUCUGGAGGAUUAUUCUGAUAGCUUUGUCAAGUGGGUGACCUCUGGGGAGACGCUUUGCCACUAAAGUUUGUCUCUUCCCCCUACUUGAUUCGUGGGUUACUAUAUAUUCUCGACGACGUUAAAAAAAGCUUAUACAUCAUGAUCAACAAAGAAGCAAAGCAAAUUGCUUUGGCUGGACAAGCAAAAAGAUGAGGGUUUACGAUCCGUGAGAUUUAAGAUAUUGCGGAGGCAAUCUUUCCGUCAAACUCUGAGUGUGCAGCUCUCAUUCCAUCGUAAAAGUUUGAUGGGGAGUCGAUGCCAUAGCACCAGAAAAAGUAAAAGAAAGAAGUAAAUAGCAAGAGUUGAAAUUCUUUUUGGGGCACGGCGUACCCAUAGGCUUCCAUAGGUCAAGCGUGUAUAUAAUGUUCGAGCUCCACUUGUAGAGCUGUAGAUCUGCUGAUUCUUUAUCUGUUAUUGGUUUCUAGUUGUCAGGCAUGUUACUAACAUCGAGGAUCACGCAUUUGGAGUUAUGAGCAACUACCGGCAUCUGUAGUCGUUAUUAACCCGUCAAGGUACUAAAGCAUUCUAAGGCGUUUUGGUUUGGUUUCUGUUUCUGUUUUAUUCCAUAUAGGAAGCAUUUAUUACUUCAAACGUUAGGUAUCCUUGCAUUGACAUUUUGGAGGCUCUUCUGAUUGGCUGAGAGAUUAAAUUGUCGAUUGUUGGAAAGGUAUGAAUCGACGAGGCCACUUAUGAUUUCUUAUCUAGGCAUUCUUGUCAGUAGGGUUGUGUUUGGUGGUACGAACAAUGUGUUGGUGACAUUCUUUAACACGAGCUAGAACAAUGUGUUGGUGACA